GGGGAUAUAGCUCAGUUGGUAGAGUGUUUGCCUCACAUACAUAAGGCCCUGGGUUCAAUCCUCAGCACCA
rnacentral:tRNA from 1 species